CUGCUAUCGGGGUUCGAUUAAGCCAUGCGAGUCGAGAGGUGCAAGACCUCGGCGCACUGCUCAGUAACACGUGGACAAUCUACCCUGAGGAGGGGGAUAACCCCGGAAAACUGGGGAUAAUACCCCAUAGAUUAGGGAGGCUGGAAUGCCCCCUAGUUCAAAGGUCCGCCGCCUCAGGAUGGGUCUGCGGCCGAUUAGGUUGUUGUUGGGGUAACGGCCCAACAAGCCUUUGAUCGGUACGGGUUGUGGGAGCAAGAGCCCGGAGAUGGAUUCUGAGACACGAAUCCAGGCCCUACGGGGCGCAGCAGGCGCGAAAACUUUACAAUGCGAGAAAUCGUGAUAAGGGAACCCCGAGUGCCCGUAAAUUCGGGCUGUCCAUCAGUGCAAAAAACUGGUGAAGAAAGAGCCGGGCAAGACCGGUGCCAGCCGCCGCGGUAAUACCGGCGGCUCGAGUGGUGGCCACUAUUACUGGGCUUAAAGCGUCCGUAGCUUGGUUGUUAAGUCUUCUGGGAAAUCCAU
rnacentral:rRNA from 1 species